AUUGAACGUUGGCGGCGUGGAUUAGGCAUGCAAGUCGAGCGAGAACCGUAGCAAUACGGGGACAGCGGCGCAAGGGACAGUAAUGUGUAGAUCAUCUGCCCUCAGGUCCGGGAUAGCUGCGGGAAACUGCAGGUAAUACCGGAUAACAUCUCCGGAUCAAAGGUGUGAUUCCGCCUGAGGAUGAGUCUGCAUCCUAUUAGCUAGUUGGUAGGGUAAUGGCCUACCAAGGCUUUGAUGGGUAGCGGGUGUGAGAGCACGACCCGCGUCAUUGGGACUGAGACACUGCCCAGACACCUACGGGUGGCUGCAGUCGAGAAUCUUCGGCAAUGGGCGCAAGCCUGACCGAGCGACGCCGCGUGUGGGAUGAAGGCCUUCGGGUUGUAAACCACUGUCAGAGGGGAUGAAAUGCAGGUGGGUUCUCCCAUCUGUUUGACAUAGCCUCAGAGGAAGGACGGGCUAAGUUCGUGCCAGCCGCCGCAGUAAGAC
rnacentral:rRNA from 1 species